UCCAAUGUGUGAGUCAUGACGGUGAGAACACUUGGAAAAAGAAACAGGGUCAUGGUGAUGCCUUUGAGCGUCCCCGCUUGCUGAGGACUGGAGCCUGGGAACCGCCUGCCCAGGUCCCUUCUCUGCUCUCUGCCCUACGAGCCAUCCAAAAGAUGCCAGGCUCAAGUCUGUCCUGCUUAGGAGCAGUAUUUAAGUCCAUCGGUGGGAAACGUGCACCAGAGAUCAUCUCUGGAGACACACAGAAACCACGGCUGCCCCUGGGAAGAGGAGUCACACUGCUGGACACAUAGGCUGGAGGAAGACCUUUCGCAAUAAACCCUUUUCUUACCCCU